rnacentral:rRNA from 1 species
GCCGGGCACUCUAACGGGACUGCCCGCGAAAGCGGGAGGAAGGAGGGGACGACGGUCUGGUCAGGCAUGGCCCUUACGGCCUGGGCGACACACGUGCUACAAUGCCCACUACAAAGCGAUGCCACCCGGCAACGGGGAGCUAAUCGCAAAAAGGUGGGCCCAGUUCGGAUUGGGGUCUGCAACCCGACCCCAUGAAGCCGGAAUCGCUAGUAAUCGCGGAUCAGCCAUGCCGCGGUGAAUACGUUCCCGGGCCCUU